rnacentral:tRNA from 1 species
UAGGGGAACCUGCGGCUGGAUCACUUCCUUUCUAAGGAUGGUUCUUCAGAAGCUUGCUUCUAUCGAACCGUUUUAGAAACAUCAGUGGCCAACAGAUCGCCAGAUCGUUGAGCUGCAUUGGCGGGAUUUCGCCGUCUUCGUUUCUCUUUCUUCGCGGACGAACACGCGCUGGGCCUGCAUCGAGCAGGAUCCCACGGUCCCUGACGGGAUAUGCGUUAGGGGCUUGUAGCUCAGUUGGUUAGAGCGCGCGCUUGAUAAGCGUGAGGUCGGAAGUUCAAGUCUUCCCAGGCCCACCACUUUCAGUGAGCAUUCGUCUUCUGGUUACGGGGCCAUAGCUCAGCUGGGAGAGCGCGUGCUUUGCAAGCAUGAGGUCGUCGGUUCGAUCCCGUCUGGCUCCACCAGAUGGUUUGAUCACCGAGAUCUUGUACCGUCGUCCGCGAAACAUCACUUCGCAUCCUGCUAGUCUGGAUAGACAGCAAGAUGCGUGUUUUCUGACAUCGUAAAGAGGAGAUCGAUCCGAGUUGGGUCGUGCAGCAGAUUGUUGCGCGGAUCCUUCAUUAUCUCCGGAUCAUUUUCGGCGCUCGCUCUCAGCCGUGAGGUUGAAUGCGAGUUGUAAAAUGAUCCUUUUAGCGAAGCUUGACCGCCUCGCUAUCGGAACGAUCUUACGAAGCAAGCUGGUCUUUCUAGUCAAUGUCCGGCUGCACGUAGCAUUCAUCGAGGGUGCGCGCCUUAGAGACUUCGGUUUCUCGGCAAUCGUGCAGACAACAUUCUGCCGAGUGUGUGGACAUUGAUAAUGAGAGCA